CCCCCUGCAGUGACAGUGGGUGAGGGCUCAGUGUCACUCUGGGGUUUGGCAGGACCCCUCUGGCUCCCUCUGACCCUUCUGCACGUCAGGGCUGAGCAUUUCCUGCUGCCUGACCCAACUAAAGUGCAGCAAUAAAAUUCAGGGUGGAGCUGUGUCCAGCUCUGGGGUCAGAGAGGACAUGGACCUACUGGAGAGAGUCCAAAGCCUUUCCAAGCAUAAGGAAUGAGGAAGAUGGGGCCCAAAACGUUGGAGAGCUUAGGAAACGUCAGCCUGGCUUUGAGCGUUGAGAAGGUGCAAAGGACCUCCUGUGUGUGUGUUCAUGUCUUUGACAGAGAUGGGAAUAGGAAAAUGAGAUCAAGAUGCUUUUGGUACAUUACUGGAAACAGAACAAUAAAAAAAAAGAGCAACCUCCAAGCAGUUCAGGGUCAGAUCCUGCAGAGUCCAGGUGCCAACACUCUGGUUUCCCCCUGGAGGUGCUGGGACAGGACACCACCCUGGCACUGCUCUGGCUGGAGGAAGAAGAGGCACCAGCCCCAUUUUCCCCUCUGCUCUUGCAGAAUUCC